CAGCCGCCGCGGGAAUACGAAGGGUGCAAGCGUUAAUCGGAAUUACUGGGCGUAAAGCGUGCGUAGGCGGUUUGUUAAGACAGAUGUGAAAUCCCCGGGCUCAACCUGGGAACUGCAUUUGUGACUGGCAAGCUAGAGUGUGGCAGAGGGGGGUGGAAUUCCGCGUGUAGCAGUGAAAUGCGUAGAUAUGCGGAGGAACACCGAUGGCGAAGGCAGCCCCCUGGGCCAACACUGACGCUCAUGCACGAAAGCGUGGGGAGCAAACAGGAUUAGAUACCCGUGUAGUCCCUGUCUCUUAUAC
rnacentral:rRNA from 1 species